UAAUUGGUGACUUCAAUGCACAUCAUGC
rnacentral:sRNA from 1 species